UACGUAGGGUGCGAGCGUUGUCCGGAAUUAUUGGGCGUAAAGGGCUCGUAGGCGGUUUGUCGCGUCGGGAGUGAAAACUCAGGGCUUAACCCUGAGCCUGCUUUCGAUACGGGCAGACUAGAGGUAUGCAGGGGAGAACGGAAUUCCUGGUGUAGUGGUGAAAUGCGCAGAUAUCAGGAGGAACACCGGUGGCGAAGGCGGUUCUCUGGGCAUGACCUGACGCUGAGGAGCGAAAGUGUGGGGAGCGAACAGG
rnacentral:rRNA from 1 species